GCUUAUGUGUGUUUCUGUCUGGGAGCGAGAGCAAUCUACUAGCAGGAUUAAAGCACAGAGCGAGGGCUGUAUUUCUACCUCUUUGCUUUUGCUCGUGGUAUCAGCUUUGCAGCUACCACUUGCCGCUUUUGGAGCUACUGAAGUGCUCGAUCUCCUGUGCAGUCUCUCUAGGUAGCUCGGGGCUUUCUAAGGCAUUCAACUAUGAGCCUGGCCGGCCAAGUGUGCUGUGAGUAUUUCCACAGUUCUGUGAGUAUUUCCACAGUUCUGUGUUACACUCAGCCAGAGGUGAGCAGUAGAGCAGUGACAGGACACACCAGUUCCAGGCAUCUUACUGAACACGGCAAAGGUAUCUGGAUUCAGGGAAGACCUCCACGGAGAAUUAGGAAGUGAGCUGCUGGGAUGGGCACAGGAGAAGGUUACCAGAGGCAAAGCUUGAUGCAAGUGUACCCGAACUUACCCCAUGCAUCAAUGCAGAUCUGUAGGAGCUCUUCCCCAUGAAGACAGCUGCCAGGAGGAGAAGCUGAUGUCUUGGGUACUGCAAAUCACAAGCAGAUGUGGUUCUUCACUGAUUGUCAACUGGUUCAACCUCUUCUGCUCAUCUCCUAAGUGCCAGUAAUGCCUUUGAAACCCAGACCCCAUAGGAAAUACAUUUCUGCAUAGCAAACAACUGGGAAAAUUUAUCCAAAUUAACUAAAUCCCUGCUCUCUGAUCCCAUUCCUGAGGAAUUCUAGGUCUAUUACAGUGCUGCAAUUCCAUUGCUAACUGUGCUUUCAAAUGCUCUGUCCCUGAGAUGCUUCCAAACUUGGCAGUGAAAGGAGCCAUUCCCAGAUCCUUCUGCUGAUAAAAAACUUGCUCUCCCAGCCAAGGAUAUAUCUGUAGCCAAAUCACCUCUGGCUCUCAAAGCUAAAAUCUGACAGCCCAUGUAUAAAUCCACACUCCUGAGGAUGUGUGGGCUAAAUAGCAGCCUGGACAACUUACUCUUGCAGUCUGAUCCUGUGAAAGAGGACCAUUCCGCACACCUCACUGAAGACAGCCAGCCCGCCCAGAUUUUCAGAGCAUGGAACUAGGUGACCAUUUCAAUUUCUCCUACUCCUUCUACCAUCAUCUCCUUGACACAAAUUUGCUUGAUGUGUGAAACCAAAGAGUAAAAUAACUCUUGUUCUUUGUGGGUGGUGAGAAAUCCGUACCUCUUCCAGGAAGAAGGCUCAGUAUUAAUCGUCUUGCAAAUGGUCUUGCGUGUUUGUCACACAUCAGUCAACCAUCACUGGCUUUGUGUUUGGGGACAACACAGGCAAAAACUGCUUUCAUUGCAGCUUUUGCACUUUUGUUUGGUAGUCUCAGUGUCCUUUCUUGGUGAUUCUGCACAGAACUCCACUGGUAUGCAUAUA